rnacentral:lncRNA from 1 species
GUUUGUCGUGCAUCCGACCUGCAUGGUCUGUGUGUUCAUGGUGUUGCGGCCGGGAUGCUUGCUUUUUCCAUAUGCCUAGUGUUGCGUUGUGUGGGUGGCCAAACUUUGACCCUACUUCUAAGAUGUGUUGGAGCUCUUUGACUUUGUCUAUCCAUUUCGUGGCGUGGGUGGGGACCCUCGCGGCCAUGGCUCUGAGGGCCGCCAACUUGUGGGGCAUGGGGUCCAUCGACCAUGCUGGGAUGGCGGCGGGAACGUGUGUUGGCUUUCUGUGGAUGUUAGUGAUAUGUUCCCCCAUUUCAACAUGCACAGCUGUAUCGAGGAAAUGAAAU